rnacentral:rRNA from 1 species
AGUGAACGCUGGCGGUAGGCCUAACACAUGCAAGUCGAACGGCAGCACAGUAAGAGCUUGCUCUUACGGGUGGCGAGUGGCGGACGGGUGAGGAAUACAUCGGAAUCUACUUUUUCGUGGGGGAUAACGUAGGGAAACUUACGCUAAUACCGCAUACGACCUACGGGUGAAAGCAGGGGAUCUUCGGACCUUGCGCGAUUGAAUGAGCCGAUGUCGGAUUAGCUAGUUGGCGGGGUAAAGGCCCACCAAGGCGACGAUCCGUAGCUGGUCUGAGAGGAUGAGCAGCCACACUGGAACUGACACGGUCCAGACUCCUACGGGAGGCAGCAGUGGGGAAUAUUGGACAAUGGGCGCAAGCCUGAUCCAGCCAUACCGCGUGGGUGAAGAAGGCCUUCGGGUUGUAAAGCCCUUUUGUUGGGAAAGAAAAGCAGCAGGUUAAUACCCCGCUGUUCUGACGGUACCCAAAGAAUAAGCACCGGCUAACUUCGUG